GUUUCCUUCCUUGCUCUUCGUUGAUUUUCCGGUGAUGAGUUGAUUUCCGCGUUUCCAAAAUUUUAUAACAAUCAAGACCAUGAUUUGAUCUUGAUUACGCGGUUUCCGUUUUUAUAACAAUCACGAACCCGGACGUUCAUCAGUCCAGAUUCCAUGCACGCGUUUUCGGAAACAACCGACAACCACAUUUCCGUUUUAAAAACCUCCACUGAUUGCACGAUGAUUGAUGUUAGUUGACUCCGUUCCAUGAACAUGGACUCGAUCUUGGCACGCAUACAAAUCAAUCACGACUCGUUUCCUUAUUUCGCGAAGACUUGCGAGACACUAUAUAGACGACAUCCUCACAACUGUUUUCGACACAUCUAUACCUCUCGAUCACCCUCACCCUCGUUUAAACUCGCGAAUCCCGACAACACUCGUCUCUCUUUGUCCCAGCCACCGCCGGAGAACCAAAGGCCACCGGAGACCUACCGACCAUUCUUGUUCCAUUAUGCUUUCUCAUUACAACCUCAGUUCGAAUCUUUGGAGCGCCGGAGUUCGGAAGAUGCCGUCGGAGUCCGUAAACACUGCCGAAGGUGCCCACAACUCGUAGACGGAAAAACAACUUGCCGGGAAUUUAUUUGACACGAGUCGCCUCAACCACGAGUCGGAACGAGGAAGCUCUCGUCGGAUAUACGCACCCGGGAACUCGUGAUCCGUUUCGGUUAAUCACUCUCGUUCGACUCCUUAUUUUACGCUCGUGCAUUAUUACAAGAAAGCGCAACGCAAUCAAUGUUGAAAGUACAAGAUUCAAGAAUCAAGCUAGGAUGAACACUAGAAACCCACAUAACAUUUAAAUUAUUGUUGAACAAUAUGUUGUAUUGUUUGGAACUAUGUAUUUCACUUUAGAGUUUAUGAAAUGAAUUAAAUAAA